rnacentral:rRNA from 1 species
GACGAACGCUGGCGGCGUGCUUAACACAUGCAAGUCGAACGGAAAGGCCCUGCUUUUGUGGGGUGCUCGAGUGGCGAACGGGUGAGUAACACGUGAGUAACCUGCCCUUGACUUUGGGAUAACUUCAGGAAAAUGGGGCUAAUACCGGCUAGGAGCUCCUGCUGCAUGGUGGGGGUUGGACAGUUUCGGCGGUUGGGGAUGGACUCGCGGCUUAUCAGCUUGUUGGUGGGGUAGUGGCUGACCAAGGCUUUGACGGGUAGCCGGCCUGGGAGGGUGACCGGCCACAUUGGGACUGAGGUACGGCCCAGACUCCUACGGGAGGCAGCAGUGGGGAAUAUUGCACAGUGGGCGGAAGCCUGAUGCAGCAACGCCGCGUGCGGGAUGACGGCCUUCGGGUUGUAAACCGCUUUCGCCUGUGACGAAGCGUGAGUGACGGUAAUGGGUAAAGAAGCACCGGCUAACUACGUG